ensembl:lncRNA
GCCCAUUCAGACAACAUCACCAACUGCUCCGUGUGUGCGCGCGCCUGUGUGUGUGUGAGUGCGCCGGUACAGGAGAAGAGCAGAGCAAGAGAGAGAGAGAGAGAGAGAGAGCCGGGCGGGAGCCAGAGCGGGCGAGCGAGACAGAGACACACUCACUGACAGAGCGAGAGCGUGCACGAGAGAGAGAGAGAGACAGAGAGAGAGAGAGCAAAAAGGGGGAGGCACUGUGUUCGUUCAGCUACCCACACCUCCCUCCGCCCUCCUCCUCCCCUCCCUCCAACUACAAGGAAGGCGGGGCCAGACCCCAGGCUGCCAAUCAAAUCGGCUUGUGGCAGCCGGCAUUAUCUCAGCAACAAACUAUUGACAUAUAACAUGUCAAGGAGUUUAGUGCAUGAUUGAAGGAAGCCCUUUUUUUUUUGGGUUGGCUGGUUUUUAAUCUAGUUACUUUUUGUCUGCUGCAGCGCGUUUCUCCUCUCCCCGACCGACUCGAAUGACUUUCUAUGAGAGUUGAGUCAUAUUAUGAAAGUUACAUGUCUGAGAGGAUUUAACCUCGACUUCCCUGAAUAUGGAGGCCGAUUGGCCGACAGUGAGGCUACAGCUUCG